rnacentral:rRNA from 1 species
AACGAACGCUGGCGGCAGGCCUAACACAUGCAAGGUCGAACGAGAAGCCACCUUCGGGUGGUGGACAGUGGCAGACGGGUGAGUAACGCGGUGGGAACGUGCCCUUUCGGUUCGGGAUAACCCAGGGAAACUUGGGCUAAUACCGGAUACGGCCCUCCGGGGAAACGAGUUCAUUGGCCGAAAGAAUCGGCCCGCGUCGGAUUAGCUAGUUGGUGGGUAAAGCCUACCAAGGCGACGAUCCGUAGCUGGUCUGA